rnacentral:lncRNA from 1 species
GUGGAUGAGAAAGUAUCGUUAUAGAAGAAGUGAAGAGAGGGAAGAAGAAAAGAAGAGAAAAAGAGAAAUAUCACUUGCUAAGAAGUUCUGAAUCGAAUGAAGUCCAUAGACACUUAAAUCAAUGGCGCGUACAAUAGAAACAGAAAGUUGAAAAAAAAAAAAUAGAAUUCCGAAUUGGGUGAACUCCAUCGAACUCAAUUCAAUCGCGCAACACAAAGCUAAAAAAAA